rnacentral:rRNA from 1 species
AUUGAACGCUGGCGGUAUGCCUUACACAUGCAAGUCGAACGGUAGAGGGGCAACCCUUGAGAGUGGCGAACGGGUGAGUAAUACAUCGGAACGUGCCCAGUCGUGGGGGAUAACGUAGCGAAAGCUACGCUAAUACCGCAUACGACCUGAGGGUGAAAGCGGGGGAUCGCAAGACCUCGCGCAAUUGGAGCGGCCGAUGGCAGAUUAGGUAGUUGGUGGGGUAAAGGCCUACCAAGCCUGCGAUCUGUAGCUGGUCUGAGAGGACGACCAGCCACACUGGGACUGAGACACGGCCCAGACUCCUACGGGAGGCAGCAGUGGGGAAUUUUGGACAAUGGGCGCAAGCCUGAUCCAGCCAUACCGCGUGCGGGAAGAAGGCCUUCGGGUUGUAAACCGCUUUUGUCAGGGGAGAAAUCUUCUGGGCUAAUACCUCGGGAGGAUGACGGUACCUGAAGAAUAAGCACCGGCUAACUACGUGCCAGCAGCCGCUGUAACAC